rnacentral:rRNA from 1 species
GACAGAGGAUGCAAGCGUUAUCCGGAAUGAUUGGGCGUAAAGCGUCUGUAGGUGGCUUUUCAAGUCCGCCGUCAAAUCCCAGGGCUCAACCCUGGACAGGCGGUGGAAACUACCAAGCUGGAGUACGGUAGGGGCAGGAGGGAAUUUCCGGUGGAGCGGUGAAAUGCAUUGAGAUCGGAAAGAACACCAACGGCGAAGGCGGCAUCCUGGACCGGACACUGACGCUGAGGAGCGAAAGCCAGGGGAGCAAACGGG